rnacentral:rRNA from 1 species
UACGUAGGAUGCAAGCAUUGUCCGGAGUUAUUGGGUUUAAAGGGUGCGUAGGCGACCUAUUAAGUUAGUGGUGAAAACGUUCGGCUUAACCGGAUACCCGCCAUUGAUACUGAUAGACUUGAGUGCGACAGAGGGUGUUGGAAUGUGUGGUGUAGCGGUGAAAUGCUUAGAUAUCACGCAGAACACCAAUUGCGAAGGAAGAUGCCUAUGUCGUAACUGACGCUGAGGCACGAAAGCGUGGGGAGCAAACAGG